AAUAUAAAAAUGCACAAAUUAAUCCCAAAUAGAAUCAAUAAAAACUCCAAAUUAAAAAAUGUUAGGUUUGAGAAAAUUACUUAAACACAAACAACAAUUCAGAGAAUAUAUCGCUUAAACAUAUAAAAUCCUCCCCACACUUAAGAUAUACAUUGCCCUCAUUAUACAAAGAAAUAUAAAGAAUAUAAGAAAAAUAUCAAAAGAGAGGAAGAGAACUGAAAUUACCUUGAAUUUGGAUGAUUUCGCAAAAAUAGUAAAAUCUAGAAAUGUAAGAUAUCAUAACUUAAGUACAUGGUUCCAAGCACACUAAUAAGAAAAUAGAAAAAAAUAAAUGAAGACAAAGAGAUAACAGAACAAAUAGAAAAACAGUUGAAAAGCAUAACAAUAAAGUGCAUAAUAAAAUAAAAUAAAACAUAUAAAUCGGUAAAAUAAAAUAAAAGAAAUAAAAAAUUUAAAAAAUAAAGUAGAUGAACCGGGUUGGGUUUGGGGUAGAAAGGAACAAAAAUAAAAACUCUAACUUUAAAAAAGGGUACACGGCCAUGUGUCAGGCCAUGUGAGCUAUAGGGAUGGGUAGUCCGGUUGUGUAUCUCUCUGAGGCUGUGUGACCUAUUAGAAAAUUUUCUCCAGUAUUCACACAAUCCGUGACA
rnacentral:lncRNA from 1 species